rnacentral:lncRNA from 1 species
CCAGACUUUGUGUGGCAGCCCUGCCCCUGGUCCCCAGGGAGGCCCAGAUUAGUCACAGGGAGUAUCAGAGGCAAGCCCUGGGAGAGAUGCUCUGAUGGUGACAUGUUUGUCAUCAAGGUUUCAGAAAGCAACUUUGGGAAGACAAGGAGACAGCAGCCACGGCAGCAGGGAGGGCGGGGAGUGGCUUGGGGCCCAAUGCAAGGAUUUCUCUUUAGUGGCUUCCUUUCCAUGUCUUCAUUGUGCUGACCCUGAUGGGGACCAUUUUCUCAACAAGGCGGGCAUGCUAUGUGUUUCUCCUAGACAAGAGGAAUUCUCCAAGACUCUCCUCGGUAGCAGGAACAGAAGCUACACACGCCUCAGGCUAUACCUGGACUCUGGACCUGGCACCAGUCACCAAGUCACUGACUCCAGCUGGGGCAGCAGCAGUGUUCAGUGGCGAUGGUGAUCCUGGCAGUGUCCAAAGCAGGCUUUCCCAGAGGCUGGAUCUUAAGCAUCUCCCUUCCCUCUGAAACCGGUUCUAUGGUCUCCUCGUUGAUGUGAUGAACUUGUCAGUCUCCCUUCAUCAGUUUCCUUUCUGCUAGCUGAACCAGAGUGAAGGACCGCACUGAAUGAUCACCUGUAACGAUCAGGUGAUGGAGCUGAAAUACAAGCCUGUACGGGACCGUCCCCACCCAGCGGCUGCAGGUGAGAGUAGCUCUCCAAGAAGAGGCCGUCAGUAAGUAGAUCCUUAGAAACAGGGACUGUCAAAAUUGAAAGCAGGGACUCACACAUGUGCAGAUCAGAAUCCAUGGUAGCUCUGCUCCCAAUAGGUCAGAAUUAGGACAACCCAAGUGUCCAUCCAUGCAAGAGUGGGUAAACAAUGCUGUGUGUGAUUAUAAAGGAAUGCCCUUCAGCCUUAAAACUGAAGAGAACUUUGCUACAUGCUACAACAGAGAAGAGCCCUAUGGACCUUGAAUGAGACAAGGAAGCACACUAACAGACAAACAUUGUGUCUUUCUAUUUGUCUGAGAAAGCCUCAGUAGACAUCUUUAGAGACAGGGGGGAGAGCAAUGCUUGCCCGGAGCUGCAGGUGAGGGAGCCAGGCGCUGUUUCCUGACCAUAGCUUCAGUGCUGAGACGAGAUGAAUAUUAAGGUAGACGACGGUGACAGGUACUGAGACACACAUUUUCUCAGUGACACCAAGCUGUCCAUUCAGAUAAUAAUUGACAAUAGUUAAGUUUCUGCAAAUUUAUAAUAAAGCAGUUUGAAGAAGAAUUGAAGCA